UAGACCUACGGGAGGCAGCAGUGAGGAAUAUUGGUCAAUGGGCGCGAGCCUGAACCAGCCAAGUCGCGUGAGGGAAGACGGUCCUAUGGAUUGUAAACCUCUUUUGUCGGGGAGCAAAAAGGCCUCGUGAGGCCACAAGUGAGAGUACCCGAAGAAAAAGCAUCGGCUAACUCCGUGCCAGCAGCCGCGGUAAUACGGAGGAUGCGAGCGUUAUCCGGAUUCAUUGGGUUUAAAGGGUGCGUAGGUUGUUUUAUAAGUUAGCGGUGAAAUACCGAUGCUCAACAUCGGGGCUGCCGCUAAUACUG
rnacentral:rRNA from 1 species